rnacentral:rRNA from 1 species
AGAGUUUGAUCCUGGCUCAGAUUGAACGCUGGCGGCAUGCCUUACACAUGCAAGUCGAACGGCAGCACGGAGCUUGCUCUGGUGGCGAGUGGCGAACGGGUGAGUAAUAUAUCGGAACGUACCCUAGAGUGGGGGAUAACGUAGCGAAAGUUACGCUAAUACCGCAUACGAUCUAAGGAUGAAAGUGGGGGAUCGCAAGACCUCAUGCUCGUGGAGCGGCCGAUAUCUGAUUAGCUAGUUGGUAGGGUAAAAGCCUACCAAGGCAUCGAUCAGUAGCUGGUCUGAGAGGACGACCAGCCACACUGGAACUGAGACACGGUCCAGACUCCUACGGGAGGCAGCAGUGGGGAAUUUUGGACAAUGGGCGAAAGCCUGAUCCAGCAAUGCCGCGUGAGUGAAGAAGGCCUUCGGGUUGUAAAGCUCUUUUGUCAGGGAAGAAACGGUGAGAGCUAAUAUCUCUUGCUAAUGACGGUACCUGAAGAAUAAGCACCGGCUAACUACGUGCCAGCAGCCGCGGUAAUACGUAGGGUGCAAGCGUUAAUCGGAAUUACUGGGCGUAAAGCGUGCGCAGGCGGUUUUGUAAGUCUGAUGUGAAAUCCCCGGGCUCAACCUGGGAAUUGCAUUGGAGACUGCAAGGCUAGAAUCUGGCAGAGGGGGGUAGAAUUCCACGUGUAGCAGUGAAAUGCGUAGAUAUGUGGA